rnacentral:rRNA from 1 species
CCCUUAGAUGUUCUGGGCCGCACGCGCGCUACACUGUUCGACGCAGCGAGUCUUAACCUUGACCGAAAGGUUUGGGUAAUCUUCAGCAAAGUCGAACGUGAUGGGGAUCGAUCAUUGCAAUUAUUGAUCGUGAACGAGGAAUUCCUAGUAAGUGCAAGUCAUCAGCUUGCGCUGAUUACGUCCCUGCCCUUUGUACACACCGCCCGUCGCUACUACCGAUUGAAUGGUUUAGUGAGAUCUCUGGAUUGACGCUGGCUAGGGGGCGACCCUUGGCCAGACUGUUGAGAAACUGCUCAAGCUUGAUCAUUUAGAGGAAGUAAAAGUCGUAACA